AGAUUCUCCUGUCUCAGCCUCCGGAGUAGCUGGGAUUACAGAUGUGUCUUAGGUAACAGAGCAUGGGACAGAGCCACUGCAGCCAUGCCCAGGGAGGGCCGGGGUGAGUAAGCAUUGUGAGGUUUUGGGCAGAACGUGGCUGCACUGUGCACGCGGUGAGGGAUCGAAGGGGGCCCCCAAAGACACUCGAAGAACAGUGGGGGCCCUGAAAAGUGCCAAUGCUGAGCCCAGACAGAUGGAAGACCUUGGACAAAUUCCCCGACACCCCUGAGCCUCGAUUUCCUCAUCUGAAAAGUGGGGUGGUGAUGACAGCACAUCUCAGAGGGCUGGGAGGACGAAGCCACCAAGUGACAGCUGCGAUGGAUCCACAGGGGCAGCAGCCGAGCAACCCGAGAUCUGCAGAGCCAUGGUGGGCCCAGCCCCAUCCUGCCCCCCAUGCAGCCAGUGAGAAGCCCUGCUGCUGGAGGGGAUGGAGCUACGGGGACCGAUCAAUUACACCACAGUGUGAGGUCUCUGUGCCUUCCAAACUC